rnacentral:rRNA from 1 species
CGCUGGCGGCGUGCCAAUACAUGCAAGUCGAACGGCUUUUCUAUGGAAGCUUGCUUCCACUGAGAAGAUAGUGGCGAACGGGUGAGUAACACGUGGGUAACCUGCCCAUAAGAGGGGGAUAACAUCCGGAAACGGGUGCUAAUACCGCAUAGUUUUCUUGAUCGCAUGAUCGGGAAAGGAAAGACGGCCUUUGUGCUGUCGCUUAUGGAUGGACCCGCGGCGUAUUAGUUAGUUGGUGAGGUAACGGCUCACCAAGACGAUGAUACGUAGCCGACCUGAGAGGGUGAUCGGCCACAUUGGGACUGAGACACGGCCCAAACUCCUACGGGAGGCAGCAGUAGGGAAUCUUCCGCAAUGGACGAAAGUCUGACGGAGCAACGCCGCGUGAGUGAAAGAAGGUUUUCGGAUCGUAAAACUCUGUUGUCAGAGAAGAACAAGUUGGAGAGUAACUGCUCCAGCCUUGACGGUAUCUGACCAGAAAGCCACGGCUAACUACGUGCCAGCCGCCGC